GACGAACGCUGGCGGCGUGCUUAACACAUGCAAGUCGAACGGUGAAGCGCCUUCCUUUUUGGUGGGUGUGGAUGAGUGGCGAACGGGUGAGUAACACGUGAGUAACCUGCCCCCUUCUUCUGGAUAACCGCAUGAAAGUGUGGCUAAUACGGGAUAUUCUGGGUCUGUCGCAUGAUGGGUCUGGGAAAGAUAUUGUUUCGGUGGGGGAUGGGCUCGCGGCCUAUCAGCUUGUUGGUGGGGUGAUGGCCUACCAAGGCGGUGACGGGUAGCCGGCCUGAGAGGGUGGACGGUCACACUGGGACUGCGGCACGGCCCAGACUCCUACGGGAGGCAGCAGUGGGGAAUAUUGCACAAUGGGCGCAAGCCUGAUGCAGCGACGCCGCGUGAGGGAUGGAGGCCUUCGGGUUGUGAACCUCUUUCGCCAGUGAAGCAGGCCUGCCUCGUUUGUGGGUGGGUUGACGGUAGCUGGAUAAGAAGCGCCGGCUAACUACGUG
rnacentral:rRNA from 1 species